AUUGAACGCUGGCGGCAUGCCUUACACAUGCAAGUCGAACGGCAGCACGGGAGCAAUCCUGGUGGCGAGUGGCGAACGGGUGAGUAAAGUAUCGGAACGUGCCCAGUCGUGGGGGAUAACGUAGCGAAAGUUACGCUAAUACCGCAUACGAUCUAUGGAUGAAAGCGGGGGAUCGCAAGACCUCGCGCGAUUGGAGCGGCCGGUAUCAGAUUAGGUAGUUGGUGGGGUAGAGGCUCACCAAGCCGACGAUCUGUAGCUGGUCUGAGAGGACGACCAGCCACACUGGGACUGAGGCACGGCCCAGACUCCUACGGGAGGCAGCAGUGGGGAAUUUUGGACAAUGGGCGAAAGCCUGAUCCAGCCAUGCCGCGUGCAGGAUGAAGGCCUUCGGGUUGUAAACUGCUUUUGUACGGAACGAAAAGGUUUGGCCUAAUAAGCUGAGCUCAUGACGGUACCGUAAGAAUAAGCACCGGCUAACUACGUGCCAGCAGCCGCCGUAA
rnacentral:rRNA from 1 species